rnacentral:rRNA from 1 species
GACGAACGCUGGCGGCGUGCUUAACACAUGCAAGUCGAACGGAAAGGCCCUGCUUUUGUGGGGUGCUCGAGUGGCGAACGGGUGAGUAACACGUGAGUAACCUGCCCUUGACUUUGGGAUAACUUCAGGAAACUGGGGCUAAUACCGGAUAGGAGCUCCUGCUGCAUGGUGGGGGUCGGAAAGUUUCGGCGGUUGGGGAUGGACUCGCGGCUUAUCAGCUUGUUGGUGGGGUAGUGGCUUACCAAGGCUUUGACGGGUAGCCGGCCUGAGAGGGUGACCGGCCACAUUGGGCCUGAGGUACGGCCCAGACUGCUACGGGGGGCAGCAGUGGAGAGUAUUGCACAGUGGGCGGAAGCCUGAUACGGCGACGCCGCGUGCGGGAUGACGGCCUUCGGGUUGUAAACCGCUUUCACCUGUUACGAAGCGUGAGUGACGGUAAUGGGUAAAGAAGCACCGGCUAACUACGUG